CUUGAGUAUGCAAAAUAAUUACUAGUAGAUUUAACCUCACUACUAGUAUCCUUUAACCAUAUCUCGCAUCAUCAAAGCCUGUGAUGCUCUCCUAAGAUACUCCCUUACAGAUUUUUCCAUGUUAAAAUCGAGCCCCUGACGAGUUUCUUCAGCUGUAACCAGACCUGCAACACAAUCUCUAGUGUGCAAACUCUACCAAAAGCCUUUGGUGCUUGCAUCUUCCUUCUUCUCAAACCUGAACCUUGAUCUGUUCAAGCCUGAUGUUCCAAUCUUGUCAAGUCUGUAAGUAUUUCUCGGAAGAUUGCCAUUUCCUCCUUUUUGAUUUUGAGCUUCUGUUAUUUGUCUGAGAGCUCCACCUUGACGACUGUGGUCAUGAGACCAAACCAACGUCCCUUAUUUACCAGUGUUCAUUUGAACCCUCUGACUCAGACUUCCAUAACGAUUCCUCCAAGGUAAACUCACACACGCUUCUCCUAGUUGUGGUAGCGAAUCUAUGCUUCCUGAAAAAGUGUUGAAUGACUGUUGUUUCAUACCCUUUAUCCUCAGGAUUACAACCAGUCGUAACAACCUGUUCAACCCGAUUCUACCUACACAUUUUCUCUGCCUUUGGCAAGAAUCUACAAGCAAAUUCUAACCUUGAAUCGUCUUCUCCUCUGGCUUGUUCUUGUCACUCACACGACCUCAUCAAAGCUACUACAUGUUGCUACCCCAAAUAUCCAUUUGCUCCAACAUAUACAUGUGUAUCCUUUACACCAUGUGCCUUUGCUUUAGUUGUUUCUUCGUGGAGGUACAACCUGUUUCUACCAACCUAGAAACUUUUCAUCUCAAUGCGCCCAAUGAUAUUGACUUCUAUUCUUGUGUUGACUCAAAACAGAAUGCCAUUUGUUUCGUCUCAUUACUACCAAAAGAAACUAAAAUGUGCUGCUACAAGCUCCAUUGUGAUCUUCUAACUCUGAUCAUCCCCACUUGAGCUUCUUUUUAACCACAAGAACCUAAUCCUUAACCUCUCUGUGACUGAACCUGCAACCCU
rnacentral:lncRNA from 1 species